GAAGCUCGAUCACCAUCCAGAACCACAGCGAAGAUCAGUCUCCGGUCCUUCCUUGUUGCAGCCUCCAUCGAUCCCACCCACCUAGAUGAGCACCUCGUACACCGAGGCGCAGCUCGGCUCCUUCUUUGACCUGCCCGCCGGCGAGGACCUCACGUCCUGGUUCACACACCUCUGCGAGGACCAGGCGCCGGCGGCGUUUCCGGCGCCGGCGGCGGCGUUCGAGGCGCCGUUGGCGAUGGCGGACCCGAGGAAGAGGGCCGCGGAGUACCAGCUGGCGCCGGAAGGGGAGGCGUCGGGGGUGAAGCGGCAGCGGUCCCCGACCAGCUCCC
rnacentral:lncRNA from 1 species